GAAUAUUUGACAAUGGGGGGAACCCUGAUCCAGCCAUGCCGCGUGUGUGAAGAAGGCCUUUUGGUUGUACAGCACUUUAAGCGAGGAGGAGGCUACUCUAGUUAAUACCUCGCGCUAGUGGACGUUACUCGCCGAAUACGCACCCGCUAACUCUGUUGCAGCCGCCGCGGUAAUACAGAGGGUGCAAGCGUUAAUCGGAUUUACUGGGCGUAAAGCGCGCGUAGGUGGCCAAUUAAGUCAAAUGUGAAAUCCCCGAGCUUAACUUGGGAAUUGCAUUCGAUACUGGUUGGCUAGAGUAUGGGAGAGGAUGGUAGAAUUCCAGGUGUAGCGGUGAAAUGCGUAGAGAUCUGGAGGAAUACCGAUGGCGAAGGCAGCCAUCUGGCCUAAUACUGACACUGAGGUGCGAAAGCAUGGGGAGCAAACA
rnacentral:rRNA from 1 species